rnacentral:rRNA from 1 species
UACGUAGGGACCAAGCGUUGUUCGGAUUUACUGGGCGUAAAGAGCGUGUAGGCGGCCACGCAGGUCCGUUGUGAAAACUGAAGGCUCAACCUCCAGACGUCGACGGAAACCGUAUGGCUAGAGUCCGGAAGAGGAGAGUGGAAUUCCUGGUGUAGCGGUGAAAUGCGCAGAUAUCAGGAAGAACACCAAUGGCGAAGGCAGCUCUCUGGGACGGUACUGACGCUGAGACGCGAAAGCGUGGGGAGCGAACAGG